GAGACAGAGGAGGCCGCGUCCUGGGAGCGUCCCCACCAUGGCCUGGACGGUGCUUCUGCUCGGGCUCCUCGCCCACAGCUCAGGUGUGGAUUCCCAGACCGUGGUGACCCAGGAGCCGUCACUCUCAGUGUCUUCAGGAGGGACGGUCACACUCACCUGUGGCCUUAGCUCUGGCUCAGUCACUACUAGUAACUACCCCAACUGGUUCCAGCAGACCCCAGGCAAGGCUCCCCGCAUGCUCAUCUACAGCACAAACAGCAGGCCCUCUGGGGUCCCUGAGCGCUUCUCCGGGUCCAUCUCUGGGAACAAGGCCGCCCUCACCAUCUCGGGGGCCCAGCCUGAGGACGAGGCCGACUAUUACUGUGCUCUGUAUAUGGGUAGUGGUACUUACACAGUGAUGGGAACCCACGGGGAAGUGCAACCAAAACCUCUUCAUGUGCUCAGAAGGGCUCAGCUCUAG